UGCCCCCUGCCGUGUACGUUAAAGACUGAAAUUCUUUGAACCAAUUAUCAAAACAGGUUGUUGACUAAAGUGAAACUGUUGUGCGCGGCUUCAUUGAAGGCGUGCCUGAUGGAUCCGGGAAACAACCACCUUGAACCUCGUGGUUCAAGAUGAUGGUCUGACGGCAUAUGCGGGGGGCUU
rnacentral:other from 1 species